AAUAAAACCCAAACCAAAACUUCUAGAGUCUAGGAAAAAAAAAGAAGGUCCCUUCAAAGGCAACGUUGACAUUUAAGAUCUCCAAAUGUAAUCACAGAUUUGCACCACAAUAUGUUCAAGUAUGAUCGUCUUGACUAGAAGCCCAAAUCAAAAAUGAUGUUUUAGUAAUAAAAAAAAUGAUGACAAAUUUAAGAUUGUUAUGAUGUGCAGAAUUUUUUC